GGCCCGUUGGUCAAGUGGUUAAGACACCGCCCUUUCACGGCGGUAACAUGGGUUCGAAUCCCGUACGGGUCACCA
rnacentral:tRNA from 10 species